GGCGGCAGGCCUAACACAUGCAAGUCGAACGGUAGCACAGAGGAGCUUGCUCCUUGGGUGACGAGUGGCGGACGGGUGAGUAAUGUCUGGGAAACUGCCCGAUGGAGGGGGAUAACUACUGGAAACGGUAGCUAAUACCGCAUAACGUCGCAAGACCAAAGAGGGGGACCUUCGGGCCUCUUGCCAUCGGAUGUGCCCAGAUGGGAUUAGCUAGUAGGUGGGGUAACGGCUCACCUAGGCGACGAUCCCUAGCUGGUCUGAGAGGAUGACCAGCCACACUGGAACUGAGACACGGUCCAGACUCCUACGGGAGGCAGCAGUGGGGAAUAUUGCACAAUGGGCGCAAGCCUGAUGCAGCCAUGCCGCGUGUAUGAAGAAGGCCUUCGGGUUGUAAAGUACUUUCAGCGAGGAGGAAGGCAUUAAGGUUAAUAACCUUAGUGAUUGACGUUACUCGCAGAAGAAGCACCGGCUAACUCCGUGCCAGCCGCCGCGGUAAAAGGG
rnacentral:rRNA from 1 species